UACGAAGGGGGCUAGCGUUGUUCGGAUUUACUGGGCGUAAAGCGCACGUAGGCGGAUCGUUAAGUCGGGGGUGAAAUCCUGGGGCUCAACUCCAGAACUGCCUUCGAUACUGGCGAUCUUGAGUCCGGAAGAGGUGAGUGGAACUCCUAGUGUAGAGGUGGAAUUCGUAGAUAUUAGGAAGAACACCAGUGGCGAAGGCGGCUCACUGGUCCGGUACUGACGCUGAGGUGCGAAAGCGUGGGGAGCAAACAGG
rnacentral:rRNA from 1 species